rnacentral:rRNA from 1 species
AUUGAACGCUGGCGGCAUGCCUUACACAUGCAAGUCGAACGGCAGCACGGGUGCUUGCACCUGGUGGCGAGUGGCGAACGGGUGAGUAAUACAUCGGAACGUACCUUAUCGUGGGGGAUAACGCAGCGAAAGCUGUGCUAAUACCGCAUACGCCCUGAGGGGGAAAGCGGGGGAUCGAAAGACCUCGCGCGAUUAGAGCGGCCGAUGCCUGAUUAGCUUGUUGGUGGGGUAAAAGCCCACCAAGGCGACGAUCAGUAGCUGGUCUGAGAGGACGAUCAGCCACACUGGGACUGAGACACGGCCCAGACUCCUACGGGAGGCAGCAGUGGGGAAUUUUGGACAAUGGGGGCAACCCUGAUCCAGCAAUGCCGCGUGAGUGAAGAAGGCCUUCGGGUUGUAAAGCUCUUUUGUCAGGGAAGAAACACCGGCUCUAACACAGUCCGGGAAUGACGGUACCAGAAGAAUAAGCACCGGCUAACUACGUGCCAGCAGCCGCGGUAA